AGGGAAUCUUCCGCAAUGGGCGCAAGCCUGACGGAGCGACGCCGCGUGAGUGAGGAAGGUCUUCGGAUUGUAAAACUCUGUUGUGAGGGAAGAACGGCCGGGAGAGGGAAUGCUCCUGGCGUGACGGUACCUCACGAGGAAGCCCCGGCUAACUACGUGCCAGCAGCCGCGGUAAUACGUAGGGGGCGAGCGUUGUCCGGAAUUAUUGGGCGUAAAGGGCGUGUAGGCGGCUUCUUAAGUCCGGUGUGAAAGCCCACGGCUCAACCGUGGAGGGUCACUGGAAACUGGGGGGCUUGAGAGCAGGAGAGGAGAGCGGAAUUCCACGUGUAGCGGUGAAAUGCGUAGAGAUGUGGAGGAACACCAGUGGCGAAGGCGGCUCUCUGGCCUGGCUCUGACGCUGAGGCGCGAAAGCGUGGGGAGCAAAC
rnacentral:rRNA from 1 species